rnacentral:rRNA from 1 species
UACGUAGGGUGCGAGCGUUGUCCGGAAUUAUUGGGCGUAAAGAGCGCGUAGGCGGUCCGAUAAGUCGGCUGUGAAAGUCAGGGGCUCAACCCUUGGAAGCCGGCCGAUACUGUCGGACUAGAGUCCGGAAGAGGCGAGUGGAAUUCCCGGUGUAGCGGUGAAAUGCGCAGAUAUCGGGAGGAACACCAAUGGCGAAGGCAGCACUCUGGGACGUGACUGACGCUGAGACGCGAAAGCGUGGGGAGCAAACAGG